rnacentral:rRNA from 1 species
UACCAGCACCCCGAGUGGUCGGGACGAUUAUUGGGCCUAAAGCAUCCGUAGCCGGCCUUACAAGUCCUCCGUUAAAUCCAGCUGCUUAACAGAUGGGCUGCGGAGGAUACUAUAAGACUAGGAGGCAGGAGAGGCAAGCGGUACUCAGUGGGUAGGGGUAAAAUCCGUUGAUCCAUUGAAGACCACCAGUGGCGAAGGCGGCUCACUGGCCCGUAACUGACGCUGAGGCACGAAAGCGUGGGGAGCAAACAGG